UGGGAGUGGAGAUAUGGACUGGUCUCUAUCCACUUCCUCGUAAAGAAACAGGUAGCGGUGAAGGUUGGGGGGUUGGGAUGGAGAUAUGGACUGUUCUCUCUCCACUUCCUCGUAAAGAAACAGGUAGCGGUGAAGGCGGGUUGGGAGUGGAGAUAUGGACUGGUCUCUAUCCACUUCCUCGUAAAGAAACAGGUAGCGGUGAAGGGGGGGGGUUGGGAGUGGAGAUAUGGACUGGUCUCUAACCACUUCCUCGUAAAGAAACAGGUAGCGGUGAAGGGGGGUUGGGAGUGGAGAUAUGGACUGUUCUCUAACCACUUCCUCGUAAAGAAACAGGUAGCGGUGAAAGGGGGGUUGGGAGUGGAGAUAUGGACUGGUCUCUAUCCACUUCCUCGUAAAGAAACAGGUAGCGGUGAAGGGGGGUUGGGAGUGGAGAUAUGGACUGUUCUCUAACCACUUCCUCGUAAAGAAACAGGUAGCGGUGAAGGGGGGUUGGGAGUGGAGAUAUGGACUGGUCUCUAUCCACUUCCUCGUAAAGAAACAGGUAGCGGUGAAGGGGGGUUGGGAGUGGAGAUAUGGACUGGUCUCUAUCCACUUCCUCGUAAAGAAACAGGUAGCGGUGAAG
ensembl:lncRNA